GCCGCCCACCUGGUCCGCCUCAACAGAGCGGCGAGUCAACGAGGAGGCAGCAGUGUACUGAGCAUUCUUGCAGGGACAACUUACCUGCAGUUCUCACCUUAUCGGUUUAUAAGACAGCCAUGCUGCGCUGUCUGUGGGUGUUGGUCCUGCUAGCGGCGCUGUCGGUGACCUGCGCCAGACCAGGACCGUGGAGCCCUCAGACCAGUCGUACCUACGACCUAUUUCAGCUCGCAGCCAAAUAUGAACGCGCAAAGAGAUUGCAGCAAAUACUUCGUCAGGUCAACAGGCCACGCUGGGGGACAAAAACAGUCCCUAAGGAUGCCAGGACUAUUUUGAGGGAAAAACUGGCCGCAGAAUGGAGAAAUCGACUUCUGCAGAGUUUGGCGGGAUGAUUGGGAGUUGGAAGAGCAGCACCCAGCAUGUAUUAGACAACGGCGUACUAAGAGGAGCCGGACUAACAUUAAUGAAUUACAAUUUCGGACAGCAUGUCGCCUGACAUGGAUAAUAAACGGUGAAAACCGACGAUGUGUCUAAAAAUCCGUUUGUUGUUGGCUUUAUUUGUAACGCUUGUUAAUACAUAUUUUGCACGGUGGAGAAUCGAUGCUUACUGCCUGUUCCAUCAGACAAGCAGACAUAACUGACAUAACACCUUUUUCAACACCAUAACACAUAUUUAGACAUAACAACAUGUCUAAAUUUUUAAUUUAUCCGUUUUGAUCCCUCUCCCGUAUUGGCGUUAUACGGUGGCUAUAGGGCAGAAUAAAUUAGGUCCCAGCCUUCAAGUGGUUGGUUGAAAGUUAGUAAGUGUAUGUACCACCGACCAUUUUUUAAGGAAUGUAUGUUAUUGGCAGCACUGAUUCGGAAUACCUGUGUUGUGACUUGUCAAUGUCCUGCCAGGUCACCAUCGGGCCCUUCACGGCCAUCACAUCUGCGGCCUUUUGCCUCAUCAACUUUGAUGACAAGAAGAAGGCCAUUCGCGACAUGAUGAUGGCCGUAUUCGGAAAAGAGGUGCUGGGCAGCUCCUCUAUGAGGGGACAAGCAUGUCCCCUUAACAAGAACAAGGGGCUUGAGCACCCGACGAGGCCGGUCCUUGAUCAAGGGAAGCUUCGUGAUAUUAUCACGUUCUUGGUCAACCGGCUUAAGAUGCCCGAGUCCGAAGUAAAGGACGUCAUCAGCAGAAAAAUAAACGACGAGAAUAGCGCGGCCCUGAAGGCCAAGAAGAGGGCCGAGCAGGGCCAGUAAGGACGUAGUGUCCGGGAGCCCUACCUUCGUCCCUCCCCCUCCAGCUGGAAUGGAACCCUGUGCUCAACGCCCGUUUGAAAAUGUUAAUACAUGCGAGAUGAGUA